UGAUCUUGCCAGCAGUGAUAUGCUUGUCUCAAAGACUAAGCCAUGCAUGUGUCAGUAUAUAUUUUGCAUUAGAAAACUGCGGAAAGCUCAUUAGAAAAGUGUAAAUGAAAAGUCAUAAUAAUAAUAUGCAUACCUUCUGUAAUUCUGAGGCUAAUGGAUGCAGGCGAUAAGGCAGUUCCAAAACAUGCACAUGAUGAGUUGAAAUAUCACCAAUUUAUUGGGAAUAUGUGCAAUACAAUUAUGUAAGCUGUUGCUUGUCACAUAGGCGAUUAUAUUCUUACCUAUCAGCUUGCGAUGAUACGCUAGUAACGUAUUAUGGCUGUUACGGGUGGCGAAGAAUUAGGGUUUGAUCUCGGAGAGGACGCUUGAGAAAUAGCGGCUACAUCUAAGGAAGGCAGCAGGCGCGUAAAUUACCCAAUCUUGACACAAGGAGGUAGUGACAAGAAAUAACUGUGUGUGGCUCUAUGCUGCACAUCCGGAAUGUGUGACAGGUUAAGCGUGUUGCGAGUAGCUAUUGGAGGGCAAGUCUGGUGCCAGCAGCCGCGGUAAUUCCAGCUCCAAGAGUGUAUAUUAAAGUUGUUGCGGUUGAAAAGCUCGUAGUUGGAUUUAUGCUAUGCUGGUACAGUCGACCCCCUGGGUAGGACUUGUAUUGUUGCAUUGCACACUGUAGAAUUUGUGUAUGUUUUUCAGUAAAUGUGCAGAAUACUACUUAGUUACUUUGAGGAAAGUGGAGUGUCACACGCAGGUUGCGCCGUGAACAUGCUAGCAUGGCAUGACGCUGUAUGACUACGAGUCUUUUUGAACGGUUUCGGGACACGUGGUAAUGAUUGAUAUGAGGUGUUGGGGAUACUCAUAUUUGACAGUUAGAGGUGAAAUUCUUGGAUUUGUCAAAGAUGAACAAAUGCAAUAGCAUUUAUCAUGGAUGUUUCAUUUGAUCAAGAACGAAAGUUAGGGGAUCGAAGACGAUCAGAUACCGUCCUAGUCUUAACCAUAAACUAUGCCAACUGGAAAUUGGAAUAUAUGGAGAGAAAAUAUAUUCAGUAUUGUGCCUGAAAAGAGUAAGUGUGUGGGCUCCGGGGGGAGUAUAGUUGCAAGACUGAAACUUAAAGGAAUUGACGGAAGGGCACCACCAGGAGUGGAGCCUGCGGCUUAAUUUGACGCAACACGGGAAAUCUCACCAAGUCCAGACAUACGCAGGAUUGACAGAUUAAUUGCUCUUUCUCGAUUGUAUGGGUGGUGGUGCAUGGCCGUUCUUAGUUGGUGGAGUGAUUUGUCUGGUUAAUUCCGUUAACGAACGAGAUCCUAUUCUGCUAACUGUUGCAACAGUCUUUGGAAUGUUGGUACACUUAGAGGGACAUUGCGUGAGUAAUGCACGGAAGAGUCGGGCAAUAACAGGUCUGUGAUGCCCUUAGAUGUCCUGGGCUGCACGCGCGCUACAAUGGCACAUGCCCCAAUGUACCUAUGUCUGACAAGAACAUAGGAUCAAGCAACGAUGCCGUGCCGGGAAUAGAUGAUUGUAAUUUUUUAUCUUGAACGAGGAAUUCCUAGUAAGAACAGAUCAACAAUCUGUGCUGAUUACGUCCCUGCCCUUUGUACACACCGCCCGUCGCUCCUACCGAUUGAGUAAUCCGGUGAAUGGUGACGAUUGUUCGAACGCUCUUGAGCCUCGUGCAACAAGCAUCGUUAACCUCACUACUUAGAGGAAGGAGAAGUCGUAACAAGGUUUCCGUAGGUGAACCUGCGGAAGGAUCAUU
rnacentral:rRNA from 1 species